ACAUGAUGUGCGACCAAUCUCAUGGGAUGUUUUAUGUUUUAAAACAUAAAACAUAAAACAUCCCAUGGGAUGGUUGCACAUCAUGU